GGUCAAAUCAUCAUGCCCCUUAUGUCCUGGGCUACACACGUGCUACAAUGGCCGGUACAAAGGGAAGCGAGGCGGCGACGCCGAGCGGAUCCCGGAAAACCGGUCUCAGUUCGGAUUGCAGGCUGCAACUCGCCUGCAUGAAGUCGGAAUCGCUAGUAAUCGCAGGUCAGCAUACUGCGGUGAAUACGUUCCCGGGCCUU
rnacentral:rRNA from 1 species